CAGAUAUGCUAAAGUAGGAUUAAUCCCAAGUCAACAGGCGGAGGAUCGCGAAGUAUCUAAUUUUCAGCUGGAAUUGCCUAGCAAGAGCAUGAAAAGGGCAACAAAACUAAAAUCUAAGCUGGAGAAUAGUAAAUUUGCCAAAUUUUUUCUGCUCUUUGCCACCAUGCUUGGUACUUCUAUGGUCAUCGGAGAUGGUGUUCUGACUCCUUGUAUUUCAG
rnacentral:misc_RNA from 1 species